rnacentral:rRNA from 1 species
AAUAGAUACCCCCGGUAGUCCACGCUGUAAACGUUGGGCGCUAGGUGUGGGGGGGCCUCUCCGGUUCCCUGUGCCGCAGCUAACGCAUUAAGCGCCCCGCCUGGGGAGUACGGCCGCAAGGCUAAAACUCAAAGGAAUUGACGGGGGGCCCGCACAAGCGGCGGAGCAUGCGGAUUAAUUCGAUGCAACGCGAAGAACCUUACCUGGGUUUGACAUGGCCGCAAAACCCGGCAGAGAUGUCGGGUCCUUCGGGGGCGGUCACAGGUGGUGCAUGGCUGUCGUCAGCUCGUGUCGUGAGAUGUUGGGUUAAGUCCCGCAACGAGCGCAACCCUCGUUCGAUGUUGCCAGCGCGUUAUGGCGGGGUACUCAUCGAAGACUGCCGGGGUCAACUCGGAGGAAGGUGGGGAUGACGUCAAGUCAUCAUGCCCCUUAUGUCCAGGGCUUCACGCAUGCUACAAUGGCCGGUACAAUGGGCUGCGAUACCGUGAGGUGGAGCGAAUCCCGAAAAAGCCGGUCUCAGUUCGGAUCGGGGUCUGCAACGUCGUACCC